UAUUGCAGAACUGUUCGGAGUCGGCCAUGUUGACUUCAUAUAGCUCGGAGUAAACAAAUUUCACCAGUUAUAUUGGGAUGCUUUAUGAAGUGUAAAUAAACUUUCCUGGAUAAUCAAGAUUUCAGUGAUUACCUAGCCAGAGACUGUGUGUAAAUAUUCUUUCGCUUGUUUGUUUAUUCCUGUACAUACCCCUUGUUGGAAAACUCAAGGAUUCAUAUUUGGUUUUUCUUCAUUGAGGAUUUUUCCUAAAGACAUUGAAAAAAGAAAAGAAAAGAAAAAAAACAAAAAAAAAAAGAUUUAUUCAGUUGAGCUUUUAAGGUGCAGUAUUGGCUGGAUGGUUGUGAGAAGGACGAUGAUGUUUAUGAAUUAACAGAACAGGAAUUUUAUACAGAUUUGAAGGACGGAAAUUUGUUUAUCCUUAACAGUACACAGUUGGAUCAUUGCUACACAAAUUCUUGAAAAAGACUAUAAGGUUUUACAAUUUUAUGUGGAAAGGCUAUGUAAACAGUGAAAACCAGAGUCUCUGUGAAAA